GACGAACGCUGGCGGCGCGCUUAACACAUGCAAGUCGAACGGAAAGGCCUGCUUUCCCUUGUGGAUUGCGGGUACUCGAGUGGCGAACGGGUGAGUAACACGUGAGUGAUCUGCCCCCAACUUGGGUAUAAGCCUGGGAAACUGGGUCUAAUUCCCGAUAGGACUGCAGGGUGGUGCCUGUGGUGGAAAACGAUUUUCUAGUGGUUGGGGAUGAGCUCGCGGCCUAUCAGCUUGUUGGUGGGGUAAUGGCCUACCAAGGCGGGGAGUGGUAGCCGGCCUGAGAGAGUGGACGGUGACAUUGGGACUGGGAUACGGCCCAGACUCGUAGGGGAGGCAGCAGUGGGGAAUAUUGCGGAAUGGGCGGAAGCCUGAAGCAGCGACGCAGCGUGGGAGGUGACGGCCUUGGAGUUGUAAGCUCCUUUCGACGGAGAGGAAGCCACCUGGUUAGAAGGGUGGUGACGGUAGUGGCAGAAGAAGCACCGGCUAACUACGUG
rnacentral:rRNA from 1 species